rnacentral:rRNA from 1 species
GGAAUAUUGGUCAAUGGUCGAAGGACUGAACCAGCCAAGUAGCGUGCAGGAUGACGGCCCUAUGGGUUGUAAACUGCUUUUGUGCGGGAAUAACGGUCGACACGUGUGUUGAUGUGCAUGUACCGUACGAAUAAGGAUCGGCUAACUCCGUGCCAGCAGCCGCGGUAAUACGGAGGAUCCGAGCGUUAUCCGGAUUUAUUGGGUUUAAAGGGAGCGUAGGCGGAGGAUCAAGUCAGCUGUGAAAUGUAGUCGCUCAACGUCUGCACUGCAGUUGAAACUGGUUCCCUUGAGUGCGUAAGAGGCAGGCGGAAUUCGUCGUGUAGCGGUGAAAUGCUUAGAUAUGACGAAGAACUCCGAUCGCGAAGGCAGCUUGCCGGGCCGCAACUGACGCUGAAGCUCGAAGGUGCGGGUAUCGAACA